rnacentral:rRNA from 1 species
UACAGAGGGUGCGAGCGUUAAUCGGAAUUACUGGGCGUAAAGCGUGCGUAGCCGGUUAUGUAAGUCGGAUGUGAAAGCCCCGGGCUCAACCUGGGAACUGCAUUCGAGACUGCAUAGCUAGGAUGCGGAAGAGGGAAGUGGAAUUUCCGGUGUAGCGGUGAAAUGCGUAGAUAUCGGAAGGAACAUCAGUGGCGAAAGCGACUUCCUGGUCCAGCAUCGACGUUCAGGCACGAAAGCGUGGGGAGCAAACAGG